CUUUGCGGCUCGCCUGGCCCGGGAUUGGCUAAAAAGAAAAGAGGCGGGGAAGGGAGAGCGAUUUGAUUGGUCGCUGCGUUCAGGCUUUGCUAAUGAGACCCGUCGGCGAUGAGAACCUAGCAUUCGUUGGUCAGACCCUUUGGCCCGUAGUCUGGAGAUUGACUGAUUAGAACUAUGAAUCUGAAGCUAAAAGAAAGAGUCGUAAUUGAAUUUCUGGCAAAAGAAGGUUGUGCACCUAAGGAAAUCCAUAGUCGCUUGAAGAAUGUUUAUGGGGACACUGUAAUGAACAUCAGCAAUGUGCGGCGUUGGGUGAAGAAGUUUGAAAACGGAGAAACGGAAAUUGUAGAUAAACCGAGAAGCGGCCGGCCAUCAACAUCAGUCACAAAUGCAAAUCGAGAACGUGCUGAUGAAUUGAUUCGAAGAGACAGACGUAUUACAGUUCAGAAUGUUGCUGAUGUAUUGAACGUCUCAUAUGGCUCUGCCCAAGGAAUCAUUGCUGAUUUGGGAUAUCACAGAGUGUGUGCUAAGUGGGUUCCCAAGCAAUUGACUGAAGAUGAUCGGAGGAGGCAAGUGGAAAUCAUGGGUCACAAAGCAAAACACUGAAUAUUUCUGGAAUGAUUUUGAUGACUGGGCUAAAUCAUGGCACAAAUGUGUACAAAUGGAUGAUGACUAUGUUGAAUGGUAGUUUUCUGUAGAGGAUAGUUCAGGCUAUGAUCUGUAGUAACUUCUGCUGUUAUAUGUUCAUUCAUAAUGUUUUUAUGACACAGGAGGCAAAACUUUUUGACCCACUCUCGUACAAGUAGCACUGAUGGAACACAUGUGUUGUAUACAGAAACUAGGGUCCCAAAUUCAAUCUGUGACAUCCUCAAUUUUCAUUUAUCAGGUGUAGAUAAUAAGUCAACACUUGUCUAGAAUCAUCUUAACUUAAUUGUAUCAUUAAAAGGGAGUGCAUGAAGAAGGAUGUGAAGGAAAGUAAAGAGCAGACUGAAAAGCAUAUAGGAGAGGGAGAAUCCAAGAAAUAAA